rnacentral:misc_RNA from 1 species
UUUCCGUAGGUGAACCUGCGGAAGGAUCAUUAAUGAGUUGUCAUGGGGUUCGAUGCUGGCAGCCAGUUUUUGGAUGCAUGUGCUUGCCCUAACAAUCAUCUUCUUCCAAACACCUGUGCACAUUUUUGAGGGAGUCUUGAGUUGGUUGCCGCUCUUGGGUGAUUUUCUCACAUUCCCUUAAAUCAUUAUACGCUAUUAACAAUGUUGAACGUGCUCUGUGCCGCAAGGCCAUUAUUAUAAUACAACUUUUAACAACGGAUCUCUUGGCUCUC